ACAUGCGAAUUGAAAGCUUACCUUUGCCAAAAACCCACAAUAAAAUCCCAAACUUUGUAUCGUCCUGGUGCCUUCUAAACCCAACAAAACGCUACAGAGAAAGUUUGUGCCUUUCCCCCGAUUCACUGAGAAAUGAGUGACCCCAAGUACGGUUAUCCCUAUCCUCCUCCUAAUCAAGGUUACUAUCAGGGUCCUCCGGUGAUGGCACCACCGCAGUAUGCUGCUGCGCCGCCACCCAAAAGACAGGCUGGUUUCCUUGAAGGAUGCCUUGCUGCCUUGUGUUGCUGCUGCCUCAUCGACGAGUGCUGCUGCGAUCCCUCCGUCAUCUUCAUCAGCUGAUCAUACUCCCUAUUUUCAUGAACUUUGUAGAAGACAAGUGCGAAUUAACUGUCCAUUUUCACAUUUCGCAUUUGAUUUUUAAUUUUUUCCAAGAGGCUGUCUUGAAAUAUACGGCUAGAUUUGUUUUUUUUUUUUCCCCCGUGGUUGAGUCAAUUUUAUGGACUGUAAGUUUUAAUAAUUAACAAUUUUAUUCUUGGAAUUUAAUGGUGAAUGAAUGAGAUAACUUCCACCGGUA